rnacentral:lncRNA from 1 species
CUCUACCUUGACCUGCUGACAUAUUAAAUACUUAAAAACAAAGUCAACUAUAUCUCGUUUCAUCCCAUUCCACCAAAAUCGGGGUCUCAUACUUUGGUUCAUCUUAGUGCUUACGGGAUGCAUGGCAAACUUUAAGCUACAGACCUCCGUCAUAAUGUUCUUUUUUAGCUCACUGUCACCUGGAACACACAUCCUGUCUUGGAAUCUGAGCAACCUAUCGGCGGAGACUCGAGAUUUUGAGUUAGCUCCCUGUUCUGCAUCUUUCUUGAGGGCUGCUAGGGUAGAGUUGGUGGACUGAGCUUCCUUUACUCUCUGGAUUAACUCAGGCUGAAUGGGCAAGUAGUCUAAACAUGUGAUUCUCCUAAGGUCCGGAAGUCCCACCUGUUGUGCAGCUCCUAUCUACCUGCAUUUUGAAACCAUCAAUUGGGCUAAUGUACUUACACUUUUCCUAUUGAGUGCGUCGGCUACCAUGUUACCCUUACACAGGUGAU